UUUAAAUUGAGAGUUUGAUCCUGGCUCAGGAUGAACGCUGGUGGCGUGCCUAAUACAUGCAAGUCGUACGCUAGCCGCUGAAUUGAUCCUUCGGGUGAAGUGAGGCAAUGACUAGAGUGGCGAACUGGUGAGUAACACGUAAGAAACCUGCCCUUUAGUGGGGGAUAACAUUUGGAAACAGAUGCUAAUACCGCGUAACAACAAAUCACACAUGUGAUCUGUUUGAAAGGUCCUUUUGGAUCGCUAGAGGAUGGUCUUGCGGCGUAUUAGCUUGUUGGUAGGGUAGAAGCCUACCAAGGCAAUGAUGCGUAGCCGAGUUGAGAGACUGGCCGGCCACAUUGGGACUGAGACACUGCCCAAACUCCUACGGGAGGCUGCAGUAGGGAAUUUUCCGCAAUGCACGAAAGUGUGACGGAGCGACGCCGCGUGUGUGAUGAAGGCUUUCGGGUCGUAAAGCACUGUUGUAAGGGAAGAAUAACUGAAUUCAGAGAAAGUUUUCAGCUUGACGGUACCUUACCAGAAAGGGAUGGCUAAAUACGUGCCAGCAGCCGCGGUAAUAC
rnacentral:rRNA from 1 species